rfam:TPA: Bos taurus chromosome 26, whole genome shotgun sequence.
UCCCUGGUGGCUCAGAGGUUAAAGCGUCUGCCUGGAAUGCAGGAGACCCAGGUUCGAUCCCUGGGUCGGGAA